rfam:Schistosoma curassoni strain Dakar, Senegal genome assembly, scaffold: SCTD_contig0001378
CUUAAGGUCUUACUGAAGACCACCAAUAGCUUCGUUCUAAUUCUUG